CAGGAAGUCAGCAAGAAACAACUCAGAAAGUUGCCACUUCUUGGUUUUCAGCAGUACACAUACACAUGCGUUCGUUCAUAUUUUCCACUUCCGGUCAACACAGAGUACUUUUGCUACUCACCCCGAGGGCAGGACAGGAGCCGGGUGGAGUUUUUGGAAAGAUGCUCACUGCUCAGCUUCGCGGACUCUGGCCAGUCGACACGAACGCCAACAACGACGACUUUGAAACUGAAGAUUGCCUGGGAGUCAGUCAAGAGAGAGGCACUGAAAGGGUAGGGGAGGGAACAGGAAGUUGAGCGAAAGGCUGGAAAAUACAUCAAUGGGAGGAGUUUGGCCUCACAAACCAAAGAUAUCACAUAUACACAUAGAGCUAAAUCCAAAUAGAGUCGGCGGCGUUAGUAACCAGUGGCCACCUUAAAGCAGUGGACUGUCCUACGGGCUCUCUUGCAGCUAAAUAGCGUACCGCAUGAAUGCUAUUUUUGGACCGUGACGUCGCCAUCGAAACGCGGAAAUGGGACAUUAUAGACCCUACUCAAAAAGAAAAAAAAUAAAAAUAAAAAAAAAUUAUAGACCCUACUCACCUGCGUCACAAAAUGACGUGUCGCUGUAUCCGGCCGCCAUAUUGUCCGUAUUUUUUAGACCUAUUCUCAUUGUUUUCAAUUAGUCGUGCAAGUUAUAGACCCUACCCACCGACGUCACAAAAUCACGUGCUCGCUGUAUGGUUCCGCCCACUUGUCCGUCAUUUUGUGUCUGUAUUAUCAAUGGUCUCAAUUGAUCGAGCAAUUUAUAAUGCAUUUCAUGGAAGACCCGGUGCUUUCGGAUGCCGUAAACUCACUUGAUGCGUUGCAUAAAAGGCGUUAUGUGGAAAAGCUUCAGUUUAUCCAUUCGCCAGAUCCAUAUUUGAUGCCUAAAUCGAUGUUUUUCGACCCGCUGUCUCCGCCGUAUUUGCCUGACAUCUGCUAGCUACCCUGAACUGUACAACUAUCUUGUCCACACAAAAUCAGCCUAUUCUCACGAAAGUUUGAAAAACUUUAAGAGCUUGGAGGCUUAUAAAUACUUCGUUGCUGGUUGGGUGAAACAGGUCGUCGUCCACGAAAAUUCGGCAGGAAUCUAUCUUGUGCUUGGAAAGGUGUUACGAAAUUUUCAAUUCAAAAUCUUUUGUUAUUGCUAACAUCCACUGUCAAGUCUAAUGUAUUUCAUGUAGUUUGUCAAUGGAGUUAGGGCUUUUAAUGUUUAUAUGGUUUAGCGAUAGCACUCUCACUACAUACAUUACGAUUAGCCUAGCAAUGAUCUUAAUUGUGGUUGUCAGCCCAAAACCCUCUAAAUAUAUAUUAAAUGCAUCUUACCAGAUAUAAAAUGACUACUACAUAAUCUGUGGUAAUCGUUUGGAGCCCAGUUUUCUCGUCGAAUUGCAGCAGCCCAUCUCGCUCUCUUCUCUCCGGGUCUCUCGGAAUCCGGUAGAACUUCAAGUCUCUCCGUCUUCUCCGUCUAUCUUCUCUGUUAUUGCAACCGACCGCCACACACGCCUUCACCAUUUUGAUUAUUAAUGUUAACGAGCAGAAAAACACGUCGUAAAUAGGAGGAAUGUACGUAGCCGUAACAGGGAAACAUGAUGUGUUGACGGACAAUUGGGCGGCACCAGUCAGGAGGAAGGAGUUGUGACGUCACGUGGGUAGGGUCUAUAGAGCAAUUCAUGGAAGCCUCGGUGUUAUCUGACGCUGUAAACGCAUUGAAUGCGUUGCAUAAAAGGCGUUAUGUGGAAAAGCUUCAGUUUAUCCAUUCGCCAGAUCCAUAUUUGAUGCCUAAAUCGAUGUUUUUCGACCCGCUGUCUUCGCCAUCUUUGCCUGACAUCCCUGAUAUUUACAACUAUCUUGUCCACACAAAAUCAGCCUAUUCACACGAAAGUUUGAAAAACUUUAAGAGCUUGGAGGCUGAUAAAUACUUCGUUGCUGGUUGGGUGAAACAGGUCUUCGUCCACGAAAAUUCGGCAGAAAUCUAUCUUGUGCUCGGGAAGGUGAGUUACGAAAUUUUCAAUUCAAAAUCUUUUGUUCUUGCUAACAUCCACUGUCAAGUCUAAUGUAUUUUAUGUCAUUUGUCAAUGGAGCUAGGGCUUUUAAUGUUUAUAUGGUUUAGCGAUAGCACUCUCACUACAUACAUAUAUAGUAUGUAAUAAAUAUGAAGUGCGAUAGCACUGCUCCAGAUUGUCCCUAGUUGAAUUUAUUUUUUGGCUUUUGACCUCAAUAGUGAAAUUGUAAAUUAAUUGUAUGACAACUGUCUUAUUAUCCCCUUAUAAUUAUAUAUUUUCAGGUAGUUCAUUCACAACGUCUGAGUGUAUGUUGUCGGCGAUUAGCCUAGCAAUGAUCUUAAUUGUGGUUGUCAGCCCAAAACCCUCUAAAUAUAUAUUAAAUGCAUCUUACCAGAUACAAAAUGACUACUACAUUAUCUGUGGUAGUCGUUUGGAGCCCAGUUUUCUCGUCGAAUUGCAGCAAUCCAUCUCGCUCUCCUCUCCGGGUCUCUCGGAAUACGGUAAAACUUCAAGUCUCUCCGUCUAUCUUGUUUUUGCAACCGACCACCACACACGACAUACCCCAUUUUGAUUAUUAAUGUUACCGAGCAGAAAAACACGCCAUAAUAGGAGGAAUUUACGAAGCGCUAAUGCAUUAACGUGACGAGUAGACGGACAACAUGGCGCGGGGGCGUGGCUGUGACGUCACGUGAGUAGGGUCUAUACACACGCCCUAUCAUCAUACCUGUCAACCCGAGGCCGUUGGCAAUCUUGCAAAUAGUGACAUACGCCCUUACAAAUUGGUGACUAAUCUUACAACGUUUUAUGUAGCGUGCAAUUUGAAACAAAAAUAAAACUCAAUUUUCAAAAUAACACGAAUUUAUUGUUAUUAUUGUCACAUAUAACCUGGUGCAAUCAAAGCAAAACCAAUAUAUCUUCAGCUACAUCAUGUCUUUUAAUGGCUGCACUUCAUGGCACUUCAGCUCGCAAUUCAGUUCGACUUGUGGGUAGUUUGUUAGCGUGUCCAAUUAUAAAUUAAGAAGGUCAAUUGAUAAAAUUAACUUACCGAUGCAAUCUUUGAGUCAGGGAACAUUUCUUUUGCCAAUUCUGAGAAGUGAUCUGCAAUAGGCAAAUUGUGUUCGGCAACAAAUUGGCAGAAUAAAAUCUACGCUUUCGUCACUUUUCAUUCUGCAGACUGCAUCUUUAUUCAAUUCAAUUUUAUUUGUAUAGCCCUAUAUCACAACAAGGUUGUCUCAAAGGGCUUUGCAGAGGCAAUAUGAUACACAAUCAAAAACAGUAGAUGAAUUAAAUAAAGUUCUAGUCCAAGUCCUGGGCUUCCCUCAUCCUUAGACCCUCUAUGUCGACAAGGAAAAACUCCAAAAACUCUUUGGAAAAAAUGAGAAACCUUGGGGAGAACCACAUUCAGGAGAGAUCUACUCCCAGGACGGAUAGACAAGAUGCACCAGGACUGCUAAUGGGAAUUAUCUGACGAAGUUACAGUUUAUAGAAAUGCAAUAGAGUGAGGGAACAAGAGGAGGUCCAUCUAGCCAGAUGAGACGGGCGGGGCAACAAGGACGUCCAUCCAGCCAAGGGUCCGGAUAGUCAGGAGGCUGCGGCUGAAAAAUAGUCCCUCCCCGCCCCCUAUUUGUUAAUCUUACUUUAAAAAAGUAAUUACAGUUACAAAUUAAUUUAGUAACUCAGUUACCUGAAUGCAAGAGUAAUUAGUUACUUGGCAAAGUAACUGGUGUGAACUUUCAUGUUUUUUUCCCCAUUUUUUUCAAAACAAACAAAAAAAACUAGUAACCUUUGCUAUGUUUGAAAGUCAUUUAAUGUUGUGAAUCAACCGUUUAAGUUGCUCCCGUUUUUGUAUUAGUUCCCUUCUGUCUACUUUCGACAUGUGAAAGUUUUAAAACUGUUUCAUCAUUUAAAGAUAGAUUCAAGUCAAGAUUUUGCAUAUUUAGGAGUAUUUUAGAUAAAAAGUUACUUAGGAACGCUAGGAAGGUUCACUACAACAGAGCCUUUCUGAGAAGUCUACUGCUUUAAGAUGGUGGCUGCUUACUAACGCUGCCGAGUCUGUCAUUUCGUAUCUAGUUCUAUAUGCAUUUGAUAGCUAGUUUAGCAUCAAGUGGGCGUAGAUAGUAGGCUGUCAGCUAGAGUCAGGAAAUAUUGGAGUCACCUAGCCUAGCAUCGCGUCUGCAACAGCGUCACAACUCUUUCCUCCUUCCCACUCCCGCUCUUCUCUCUCCAUGUCUCUGACUUUUCUUGCGUCAUUCAACCAACGUAGUAACACAUAGUAACGUGCAUUGUUUCAUUGCCGAAACAGUGACAAAAUCCGGAGGGGGGAAAAAAAACGUAAUGCACGAAAAACGUAGAUUUUGAAUGUAUGGCGUACAACUUGACAGGUAUGUAUCAGGUUGUUGUUAAUAAUUAUAUAUACAGUGGGGCAAAUAAGUAUUUAGUCAACCACCAAGUGUGCAAGUUCUCGUACUUGAAAAGAUUAGAGAAGCCUGUAAUUGUCAACAUGGGUAAACCUCAACCAUGAGAGAAUGUGGGGGGAAAAAAACAGAAAAUCACAUUGUUUGAUUUUUAAAGAAUUUCCAAAUUAGAGUGGAAAAAAGUAUUUGGUCACCUGCGAACAAGAUUUCUGGCUAUCAAAGAGGUCUAAAUUCUAACGAGGUGUAACAAGUCUCCACUCGUUACCUGUAUUAAUGGCAUCUGUUUUAACUAUCAGUAUAAAAGACAACUGUCCACAAUCUCAGUCAGUCAAACGCCAAACUGCACUAUGGCCAAGACCAAAAAGCUGUUGAAGGACACCAGAGACAAAAUUGUAGACCUGCACCAGGCUGGGAAGACUGAAUUUGCACUAGUAGGCCGUCAGGUCACCUACCUUUUCGUUCAGUUUCGCUCCGCUACCAGGGGCACUAAAUAAUUUCUUCUUCAUAAAAUAGAUUUAUUAGUUCUAAGUAAGAAUCCGUGGAGUUCACCCUCUGAAAACGUGUCAAUUUUUUGUUCACGGUGUUGAAACCCCGGGAGUAUUUUGCGUUGAGGCGCAUUGAUUCCUGGUGUGCGCGUAGUGCCAUUAGGUCGGGAGUGGUGUGAUUUUGGUCACAUGAGCCAAUCAGGUAGCCGCUUUCUCCUCACCAUAACAACCAGAUAUCAAAAAUGGCGACUACAACAUCGGACAGCGAAGACGAGCGAAUGGAGAAAAAAGUUAAAAAGAGCGCAGAAAGUGGGAAAUAAACGAUGCUACAUGCAUCUUUUUUCCGUGAAGAAUGAGGACGUGUUGGACUUCACUUUUCAACGGUGGAACACGUACAGAACCUGCUUUAAAAAGUGGCUUUGUCUUCACGGCGCUAACAAGGAUCUUGCAGGAAUAUACAAACAUUGCGUGGAUAUGGAUUUUGAAAAUAUUCCUGGCGACGCUGGAUUCCACACUACAUGCUACCGGCGUCUUACUGAUAAACAGAAAUUGUUAAAGGCUGAGAAAAAAUUUGCACGUGCUGGGGGAGAGCCAUCUGCAGCCGCGAGCCAUUCUGACCCCCUGCGAGUACUAGCGAAGUUGCAGAAGCGUCUGAAACUCCCAGAAAAAAAUUUGUUCCCGUUCAGGUUUGCCCAUCGCAUGUGCUGGCCCUGUCCUUCCAGCCAUCUGCAUCAUUUGUAAAAAAGUGUCAAAGUAUGCUCGUCUGGGAUCGGAAGGCAAACGGCAGCGGGAUCAUCUCGCCAAAGCAGAGACAUUGUCGGCAGGUAUGUGCCUCACACACACGCGCCCAUUUUUAUUUACAAUAUGACUAAUAUUUAUUAAUGGACUGAAAAUAAUUUGUUGUUAAUUUUUAAGGCUAUAGUUUAGUAAACACACGAGCUGCUGAAUGAUUUAUCGAGUGAAUCCAGCAGUGGUUACCAAACUCGGGUUAGCUGUGCCCCUCACAAUAAUAGAUCACAGCUACACCCCCCAACUCCCCACCAACCUCAACAAACCCUUUACUUUUAAAUCUGUGAUGUGCAUAUACUGUGAAAAGCGGUGAUGUGACUUAUGAUAAUUCUUUUUUUGUGUAAAGGCCGGUUGCUGCAGGCAGCAGAGAUGAAGAAAGACUCUUCAAUCCUUCAACAUAUCAAAGACAAAGACUGUGUUGCAAUGGAGGUGCGAUACCAUAAAUCCUGUUACCGAGAUUACACCAGGUUCCUAACCAAGUCAACAGCAGCAGAAACUGCAACGACGGACGAAGAACUACAACCCUAUACUGAGAGCUACAAACUCUUUUGUGAACAAGUGGUCUGUCAAAGGAUUAUCGUUGACAAAGAAGUGCUCAGAAUGGACAAGCUAAAAAGAUUGUUCGUGAACACCGUGAAGAACCAUGAGGAUCUUGAUGCUUCAGACUACAGGUAGGUUUUGCUGAAAAGAAGAUUGAAGCGCGAUUUCCUCCAGUUGGUUUUUCACACCCCUUUCCAGCACAACAUGUCUGAAAUGUUUUUUUUUUUUUUUGAGACAUUAUCAACAACAGACAAACUUUUAGACAGGAUACCUCAGUCAUCGGGUACAUCAGCUACCGAAUCUACUGAGGUAAGCCAAGAAAGUGACACUGAAAAAAUGGGUAGCACAACAUCUGGUUGGAAAACCAGCUCUGGGCCCAAGUGUUUGUUCAGCCCUCUUUGGCAUCCAUACAUUCACAGGUUGUGACUCGACCAGUGCCUUUCAUGGCGAGGGCAAAACAAAGACAUUUUCUCUUGCUUGUCAGCAAGUAGAAUACCUGACUGCGUUUACAUAUCUGGGUAGUAGUUUUAACCUUGACCAGUCUACAUUUGAGACAUUGAGCAAAUAUAUGUGCCAUCUAUAUGGCCAGUCAACUGCCAAAAAUGUCAACUAUGCAAGAUACAAGGCAUUCUGUAUGGCAUCGUCAGCUUUGCCAGAACUGUCCAUUCCUCCAACAAGUGAUGCUCUCUUCCAACACAGCAAAAGGGCAAACUACCAAGCAGCAGUAAUGCAACAUUCUCUGACUGGUAUGAUGUGUGCUCCUUCACCAAUUGGCAAUGGAUGGGACAUUGAGGAUGGUGAAUUAACAGUAUCAAGGGUUCAAUCCCGGGCUUCGGCCUUCCUGUGUGGAGUUUGCAUGUUCUCCCCGUGCCUGCGUGGGUUUCCUCCGGGAACUCCGGUUUCCUCCCACAUCCCAAAAACAUGCAUGGUAGGCUGAUUGAACAUUCUAAAUUGUCCGUAGGUGUGAGUGUGUGCGUGAAUGGUUGUAUGUCUCCUUGUGCCCUGCGACUGGCUGGCAACCGGUUCAGGGUGUCCCCUGCCUACUGCCCGUAGUUGGCUGGGAUAGGCUCCAGCACCUCCGCGACCCUCGUGAGGAAAAGCGGCAUGGAAAAUGAAUGAAUGAAUGAAUUAACAGUAAAAUGGAUGACUAGAAAUCCUGCCCCAGAUAGUGUGCUACAGGUAGUCCACUGUGGUUGCAAGAUAAGCAAGUGUGAGACUGAAAGAUGUUCAUGCUUGUCUGCAAAAAUGUCUUGUACAGAUUUAUGCCACUGCCAGAACUGUGAAAAUAUUUCAAAGGAAACAGAAAGAGGCACAUGGGAUAAUGACACUGAUGAUAGUGAUAUUGAUGAGUAAUCACCCACCAUGUAAAAUCUGUCCUAAGUUUUGAUUCAUUAUAAAGAUUGUUCUCUCCAUUUUAACCCUUUUAAAACAAAAACAAUGUCUGUAUUGCCUUUUCCCAAAACAUAGACCUUUGUUCAAUUUGACUGCCAAAAAAGAUGGAUGUUCCAAUGAAGUGCCAUGGUUUUAUUGUGAAUGCACAUUUGAUAUAUGUAAAUAUAUAUUAUUUUUUUGUGUGAGGCAGGGGUGGGGGUGUAAAUGACAUGCUGUGACUUAAUCUGACACUUUAAUAAAUACUCUUUGUUACAAUUAUCUGGGCUCUUAAUGCAUUUAUUUUCAUCCAGUCCAUUUUGCCUUGUUCCAGUUUUGAGGUGCAUGGUAGGAUUUUCAGCCAUUUUUGGCCAAUGUGUGCUGCUUCUUGUGUACCUUUCAUUACAUAGUAGGUUGUGAAUUGUUUUCAUAUAUAAAACAUAAGCUUUUAGAUAAAUGUAACAUAUGUGCUUCAUGUGCUGGUGUCACCUCUAGUUGAAGUGAUUUUUUUUGCACAGAUUUGCUACAUUUAAUGAUCUAAAUUCACAUAUGAGUAUACUA